rnacentral:lncRNA from 1 species
GAGGCGGCCAUCCUGCUUGGCCAGCUGAAGGUUUGAGACUCAGGAUGGGGUCAUGGCUGAGACUAUGAGGGCUGCUCGUGCAUGACCCUGCCUGCUGGCCUCCAUGGGCCCACUAUCUGAAUGUGGUUACCCUUCUCCCCAGGACCAGACCAGGAGCUCCUGAGGACAGGGACUGAGUCUGCCUGAUUCAUCUCUGCAUUCCUAGCACUUACCUUGGUGCUUAGUGAAAGCUCGAACCUGCCUGGGUUCCCACCUUGUCUCUGCUACCCCCAGCUCUGUGAACUCAGAGUCAUUUUUCUCUCCCCGAGUGGCACCGGGCUCAGCAGACACUCUGGCCAUGAAGGCAUCUUCUGACUCAAGCAGGCUGGAGUGCAAUGGCGUGAUCUCGGCUCACUGCAACCUCUGCCUCCCAGGUUCAAGCAAUUCUCCUGCCUCAGCCUCCCGAGUAGCUGGGAUUAUAGGCAUGCACCACCACGCCCAGAGCCAACUACUAAGCCUGUAGCAGCCUCCCAAACUGCCCAGUCUUGUUCAGAUGCACCUCCAGAAACACAGGGGUCCAAAAUGCCCCUUCCCAGACACCCUGAGGAGUAGAACAGUGCCAGCAGGCUCCAGGGAUGAGGGACUAGCUACCACAUUCCCUUUCCCAAGCCUCAGUUUCCCCACCUGUAAGAUGAGGGAUAUGGGCUCUGACUUUCUGAGUUUGGAAAAUAAAGUGCUCCCCAAACUGG